rfam:Orientia chuto str. Fuller goc_prodigal.contig.11_1, whole genome shotgun sequence.
AGUUAAAAACAAAAGGGCAUUUGGUGGAUGCCUUGGCGCUAGAAGGCGAUGAAGGACGUAAUACGUUGCGAUAAGCUUCGGGGAGCUGCGAAUGAGCUUUGAUCCGGAGAUUUCCGAAUGGGGGAACCCACUUGAUUUAUCAAGUAUUAUAUAAUGAAUAAAAUAGUUAUAUAAAGCAAACCCAGCGAAUUGAAAUAUCUUAGUAGCUGGAGGAAAGGACAUCAAUUGAGACUCCGUUAGUAGUGACGAGCGAAAGCGGACCAGGCCAGUAGUAUCAAAAAAAUAACUAGAAUAAUAUGGAAAGAUUAGUAAUAUAGGGUGAUAGCCCCGUAUAGGUAAAAAUUUUUGAUAUUCUUGAGUAAAGCGAGACACGUGAAAUCUUGUUUGAAGAUGGGGGGACCACCCUCCAAGCCUAAGUACUCUCUAGCGACCGAUAGUGUACUAGUACUGUGAAGGAAAGGUGAAAAGAACCCCGGUUAGGGGAGUGAAAUAGAUCUGAAACCAAGUGCCUACAACCAGUCGGAGCGGGUUAUAUAAUGAUGAUAUAGUUUAAUUAAGCAAUUAAUUUAUUAUAUUGUUAUUAUUAUAGCUUGUGACGGCGUACCUUUUGUAUAAUGGGUCAGCGAGUUAAUUUAUUAAGCAAGCUUAAGCUGUUAAGUGUAGGCGUAGCGAAAGCGAGUCUGAAUAGGGCGAUUAAGUUUAAUGAAUUAGACCCGAAACCGAGUGAUCUAGCCAUGGCCAGGCUGAAGGUAAAGUAAUAUUUACUGAAGGGCCGAACCCGUUAAUGUUGAAAAAUUAUGGGAUGAGCUGUGGCUAGGGGUGAAAGGCUAAUCAAACUCGGAUAUAUCUGGUUCUCCGCGAAAUCUAUUUAGGUAGAGCGUUAUGUGUUUGUUAUUGAAGGUAGAGCACUGAAUAAGCUAGGGGGUCAUACAGACUUACCAAACUUAAUCAAACUCCGAAUGUCAAUAAAGUAUAGCAUAAUAGACAGACUGUGGGCGCUAAGGUUCAUAGUCAAGAGGGAAACAGCCCAGAUCGUCAUCUAAGGUCCCUAAAUCAUAGCUAAGUGUUAAAGGAUGUGAAAAGACCAAAACAACUAGGAAGUUGGCUUAGAAGCAGCCAUCUUUUAAAGAAAGCGUAACAGCUCACUAGUCUAGAUAAGUUUUUUUGCGCUAACAAUGUAACGGGGCUCAAGCUAUGUACCGAAGAUACGAACUUAAUAUUAUUUUUAUAAUGUUAAGUGGUAGCGGAGCGUUCUGUAAGCCUGAGAAGGUGAACCGUGAGGUUUGCUGGAGGUAUCAGAAGUGAGAAUGCUGACAUAAGUAACGAUAAAAAAUGUGAGAAACAUUUUCGCCGAAAAUCUAAGGUUUCCUGCGUAAAGCUAAUCUGCGCAGGGUUAGUCGGUCCCUAAGGUGAGGCUGAGAGGCGUAGCUAAUGGGAAUCAGGUUAAUAUUCCUGAACCUAAGAGAUGUGACGAAAGUAAGACAUUGUAUAGGCUUAAUGGAUUGUCUAUGCAGUUAAUAUUUUCCAGGAAAUAGCACUCUUAAAUUAAGACCGUACCAGAAACCAACACAGGUAGAUAGGUAGAGUAUACCAAGGCGCUUGAGAGAACGAUGCUGAAGGAACUAGGCAAAUUGCAUCCGUAACUUUGGAAGAAGGAUGACCUAUAUAUGGGCAACCAAUUAUAGGUGGCACAGGCUAGGGGGUAGCGACUGUUUAAUAAAAACACAGGACUCUGCAAAGUCAAUAGACGAGGUAUAGGGUCUGACGCCUGCCCGGUGCUGGAAGAUUAAAAGGAGGAGUGCAAGCUCUGAAUUGAAGUCCCAGUGAACGGCGGCCGUAACUAUGACGGUCCUAAGGUAGCGAAAUUCCUUGUCGGGUAAGUUCCGACCUGCACGAAUGGCGUAACGACUUCCCCGCUGUCUCCAGUAUCGACUCAGUGAAAUUGAAUUCUCCGUGAAAAUGCGGAGUUCCCACGGUUAGACGGAAAGACCCCGUGAACCUUUACUACAGCUUUGUAUUGGUAUUAGAAGUUAAAUGUGCAGGAUAGGUGGGAGGCUAUGAAGCAAUGACGCCAGUUAUUGUGGAGCCGCCGUUGAGAUACCACUUUUUUAAUUUUUGAUAUCUAACUGAGUCCCUUGAAUCAGGGAUCAAGACAGUGCAUGGUGGGUAGUUUGACUGGGGCGGUCGCCUCCCAAAGAGUAACGGAGGCGCGCGAAGGUUAGCUCAAGUUGGUCGGAAAUCAACUGUUGAGUGUAAUGGCAUAAGCUAGCCUGACUGUGAGUCUGACAAGACGAGCAGAGACGAAAGUCGGUCAUAGUGAUCCGGUGGUUCCGAGUGGAAGGGCCAUCGCUCAACGAAUAAAAGGUACUCCGGGGAUAACAGGCUAAUGAUUUCCAAGAGUCCAUAUCGACGAAAUCGUUUGGCACCUCGAUGUCGGCUCAUCACAUCCCGGGGCUGGAGAAUGUCCCAAAGGUUCGGCUGUUCGCCGAUUAAAGUGGUACGUGAGCUGGGUUUAGAACGUCGUGAGACAGUUUGGUCCCUAUCUGCCGUGGGUGUUGGAGAUUUGAGAGGGCCUGCCUUUAGUACGAGAGGACCGAGGUGGACGUACCUAUGGUGUACCAGUUGUCGCGCCAGCGGCACAGCUGGGUAGCUAAGUACGGAAGAGAUAACUGCUGAAUGCAUCUAAGCAGGAAGCUUGCCUCAAGACUAGAUCUCCCCAUUAAAGCCGUGGAAGAUUACCACGUUGAUAGGCCAGGUGUGUAAGUACGGCAACGUAUUAAGCUAACUGGUACUAAUAGCUUGAUUGAUUUAAUUAC